rnacentral:tRNA from 1 species
AUGGCUGAGCGGACCAAAGCGGCGAAUUGCUAAUUCGUUGUACGAGCUAUCCGUACCGAGGGUUCGAAUCCCUCUCUCUCCGUUCAAUA